rnacentral:RNase_P_RNA from 1 species
CCUGCCGGAUGGGUAGCCGCUGGCCCGCGCGACCCGCGGGCGGGAGGAAAGUCCGGUCUCCAUAGGGCAACAUGCCGGCUAACGGCCGGGGGGGCCCGCUCAAAGCGGGUUUUACGGAUAGUGCCACAGAAAAUAUACCGCCGGGCGGGCAACCGCCAGGUAAGGGUGAAAAGGUGCGGUAAGAGCGCACCGCGGCCGCAGUAAUGCGGCUGGCAGGGAAAACCCCAUGUGGAGCAAGACCAAAUAGGGGAGCAGGAGCGGCCCGCUCCGUUACGACUUCCGGGUAGGUUGCUGGAGCCGGGGAGAGAUCUCCGGCCAAGACGAAUGGCUACCACCUCGUUCGUAAGGACGGGGUACAGAAACCGGCUUAUAGUCCGGCAGGCUCU